rnacentral:lncRNA from 10 species
GUCACCGGGCGAGAGCCGGGCCCGCUGUGUGCUCCCCCGGAAGGACAGCCAGCUUGUAGGGGGGAGUGCCACCUGAAAAAAAAAUUUCCAGGUCCCCAAAGGGUGACCGUCUUCCGGAGGACAGCGGAUCGACUACCAUGUGGGUGCCCACAAAAAUUCCACCUCUGAGUCCUCAACUGCUGACCCCGGGGUCAGGUCCAGAUUUUGAACAAAUCUCGCUAGAGAUUGAACAGAGCUGCGCCUGGAUCCCGCCACAGUGAGGAGACCUGAAGACCAGAGAAAACACAGCAAGCCCCUGGAUCCUCCUGGAAUCCCCGAUCCCUCUUGCUCCCUGGCAGAGUUUUCUAGUCCCUCUUACUUGAAGCAUGUCUUUCAGAGCCCGGCACCACCCAUCUUGAGUAUCUGAUACCCCAUCAGCCUGAGUCUCUUAAAGGCCUUUAUACACAUAUGUCUACACAUAGGGAUUUGGAUGAUCUCGGGAUCCCACAUCCUCGCUGUCCCCUGUCCCCCCGCAACAUCCCCCACCAAUACCUUUCUGAAGUUUUCUAGUCCCUCCUUUUUGUUUGUGCUCCUUAAAGCCCAGCCCCAUGCCUGACUUUGGUUCCCAGUGAGCAUUGUACAUUUGUGGAUAUUAAAUCUUUGGCAAAGUCA